UACGUAGGGGGCAAGCGUUGUCCGGAUUUAUUGGGCGUAAAGAGCUCGUAGGCGGUCUGUCACGUCGGCUGUGAAAACCCGGGGCUCAACCCCGGGCCUGCAGUCGAUACGGGCAGACUAGAGUGCGGUAGGGGAGACUGGAAUUCCUGGUGUAGCGGUGAAAUGCGCAGAUAUCGGGAGGAACACCGGUGGCGAAGGCGGUUCUCUGGGCCUGUACUGACGCUGAGGAGCGAAAGCGUGGGGAGCGAACAGG
rnacentral:rRNA from 1 species